GAUGAACGCUGGCGGCGUGCCUAAUACAUGCAAGUCGAACGCUGAAGGAAGGAGCUUGCUCUUUCCGGAUGAGUUGCGAACGGGUGAGUAACGCGUAGGUAACCUGCCUGGUAGCGGGGGAUAACUAUUGGAAACGAUAGCUAAUACCGCAUAACAGUAGAUGUUGCAUGAUAUCUACUUAAAAGGUGCAAUUGCACCACUACCAGAUGGACCUGCGUUGUAUUAGCUAGUUGGUGAGGUAACGGCUCACCAAGGCGACGAUACAUAGCCGACCUGAGAGGGUGAUCGGCCACACUGGGACUGAGACACGGCCCAGACUCCUACGGGAGGCAGCAGUAGGGAAUCUUCGGCAAUGGACGGAAGUCUGACCGAGCAACGCCGCGGGAGUGAAGAAGGUUGUCGGAUCGUAAAGCUCUGUUGUAAGAGAAGAACGAGUGUGAGAGUGGAAAGUUCACACUGUGACGGUAGCUUACCAGAAAGGGACGGCUAACUACGUG
rnacentral:rRNA from 1 species